GGCGGAAGCUAGUGGAGUAAUGACAGAGUGGUGACUAGAAGUAGGGGAAGUAAACAAACUACCAACCCAAAUUUAGGAGUCCUGGGCUGUCGUGGUGGAGUACUUGGUCGGGUAUGCUGCUUGUUGGGGACGGAGUCCUGGAGGAUCCAGCGCGAGGUGACGCGUUUCUGCUCGCCAGUUUCUGUUACGUUUGCGCGGCAUCGCGGAUGCGCGGGGAGUGUCGCCUCUCGAUGCGCAGGAUCCCAGCAGGCAGGAAUGAAGUCAAAUUGCUCUGCUGGGCGCUCCGCAGGACACGCCACUGGUAUUCCCUUCCAUGGUCGCUCCUCUGCGCAGCUGCAGACAAUCAAGAAUCAACACAUUUGCCCGUGAUGAGAGACCUGCUUUCAUAAGCCAGCACAUCCUGAGAUCAAGUGCCAGAACGUAGCUACUCGUACCAGUACACUUCCCGUCUUCCUGACCCGUUGUAGAGCUGUGUGUCUCGUCUUCCCGGAUCCCCUCUGGACUCUCUGCUGCCUCUCUGGAUCUCGACCUCACACAUGCCCUUUGACCAUGACACCUCACUCCAGCCCUUGACCUUCCAGCUCAAUUCCAACCCGCACUUUCAACACCCUCUUGUAACAAUCCACAUAUACUUACCUCACAUAGUCAUAUUACAUUCAUUUGGAUUACACACCUCACAUACAUUCUCUUCUGACAAUAAACACACUGAAAGCUAA